rnacentral:tRNA from 1 species
GCGAGAUCGAGGUGCUCCGGCUGGCGUCGGUCGGCUCCGACCCGACCGAGAUCGCGGCGGAACUGUUCCUGUCCGCCGGUACCGUGC